rnacentral:rRNA from 1 species
UACGUAGGGGGCAAGCGUUAUCCGGAUUUAUUGGGCGUAAAGGGCUCGUAGGCGGUUCGUCGCGUCCGGUGUGAAAGUCCAUCGCUUAACGGUGGAUCCGCGCCGGGUACGGGCGGGCUUGAGUGCGGUAGGGGAGACUGGAAUUCCCGGUGUAACGGUGGAAUGUGUAGAUAUCGGGAAGAACACCAAUGGCGAAGGCAGGUCUCUGGGCCGUUACUGACGCUGAGGAGCGAAAGCGUGGGGAGCGAACAGG